rnacentral:rRNA from 1 species
GUAGUAACACGUGGAUAACCUACCUAUAAGACUGGGAUAACUUCGGGAAACCGGAGCUAAUACCGGAUAAUAUUUUGAACCGCAUGGUUCAAAAGUAAAAGACGGUCUUGCUGUCACUUAUAGAUGGAUCCGCGCUGCAUUAGCUAGUUGGUAAGGUAACGGCUUACCAAGGCAACGAUGCAUAGCCGACCUGAGAGGGUGAUCGGCCACACUGGAACUGAGACACGGUCCAG